rnacentral:rRNA from 1 species
GACGAACCGUGCGACCGUUAUUCGGAAUCACUGGGCUUAAAGCGCGUGUAGGCGGCCCGGCACGUCCGUCGCUGAAAUCCCCCGGCUCAACCGGGGAAGGGGCGCGGAUACGACCGGGCUGGAGGGGGGUAGGGGGAGCCGGAACUUCCGGUGGAGCGGUGAAAUGCGUUGAGAUCGGAAGGAACGCCCGUGGCGAAAGCGGGCUCCUGGACCACACCUGACGCUGAGACGCGAAAGCCAGGGGAGCGAACGGG